rnacentral:lncRNA from 12 species
ACUUUUGAUUGUUCGGAAGCCCGGCAAGAACCUCGCCCAGCAGAGCAGAGGCAGAUCUCUGCUGCUCAGGAAAGCCUGAGGGGAUGGCAGCUCCAUCCCAGCCCCACGGCCACAAUGGCCUUUCAGAGGCUCAUAAUGCAGCCUUUGAGAGCACAGAGUGAUUUGGGGAGGAAUCUGUGCCUCUUGGGCUUGAGUCACGCCUUGGCAGAGGCCAGCGCCGCACAGAUUUCCUUUCUUUUUUUAUUUUUAUCUUAAAGUGCACUUUUCUUUUCCAGCUCCACAGACAAGGGACCUUUAUCGCCUUGGCCUCCGUCUCCUCCCCACGAAAGCUGCAGCCAGCCCCAUCCUGCCAGAGGAAACUUCCAGAAGGGAACUGGGGACUUGGAGCUGGCAGCGGCUGGGCUCUGACCCCAGCUGGAACUUUGUCCUGCUUCUGUGCAGCCUGAACUCCCUGGAGCUGGACGCCAGUGCCUUCCUGCCUGCAGCACUCAGGGAUCCCUUCCAGUGCCUGCGCUGCAGAGAAAUUAUCCAUGGAUAUUUGUCCCCCUGCAAUCCAAGCUUCAGCUCCAAUAUUCAAAAUAACAGUGAAAUGUAAUUCCUAACUGGAUUUGGGGCCACCAGGAGAAUCACCCAAACCAUUCCAGAUUUUCCAGAGGCUCUCAUCAACCAAAGAGGAAAAUGUCUCCAGGGUUUGUUUGUUUUUUUUCAAUCCCAUCAAUAAAAGUGGUGCAUUGAAAGAACAGGAGGAGAACAAAGCCGAGCUGCAGAGACACAACAAUGGCUGAGGGCUGAGACCUUGGCAGGGAGCUGGAGCCAGAGGGGCCCCCCCCCCCCCCCCCCCCCCCCCCCCCCCCCCCCCCCCCCCCCCCCCCCCCCCCCCCCCCCCCC